CAGUCGCCGCGGUAAUACGAAGGGGGCUAGCGUUGUUCGGAUUUACUGGGCGUAAAGGGCGCGUAGGCGGGCGAAUAAGUCAGGGGUGAAAUCCCAAGGCUCAACCUUGGAACUGCCUUUGAUACUGUUUGUCUUGAGUUCGAGAGAGGUAAGUGGAACUGCGAGUGUAGAGGUGAAAUUCGUAGAUAUUCGCAAGAACACCAGUGGGGAAGGCGGCUUACUGGCUCGAAACUGACGCUGAGGCGCGAAAGCGUGGGGAGCAAACAGGAUUAGAUACCCCCGUAGUCCCUGUCUCUUAUAC
rnacentral:rRNA from 1 species